rnacentral:rRNA from 2 species
GAACGCCGGCGGUGUGCCUAAUACAUGCAAGUCGUACGCACUGGCCCAACUGAUUGAUGGUGCUUGCACCUGAUUGACGAUGGAUCACCAGUGAGUGGCGGACGGGUGAGUAACACGUAGGUAACCUGCCCCGGAGCGGGGGAUAACAUUUGGAAACAGAUGCUAAUACCGCAUAACAACAAAAGCCACAUGGCUUUUGUUUGAAAGAUGGCUUUGGCUAUCACUCUGGGAUGGACCUGCGGUGCAUUAGCUAGUUGGUAAGGUAACGGCUUACCAAGGCGAUGAUGCAUAGCCGAGUUGAGAGACUGAUCGGCCACAAUGGAACUGAGACACGGUCCAUACUCCUACGGGAGGCAGCAGUAGGGAAUCUUCCACAAUGGGCGCAAGCCUGAUGGAGCAACACCGCGUGAGUGAAGAAGGGUUUCGGCUCGUAAAGCUCUGUUGUUGGAGAAGAACGUGCGUGAGAGUAACUGUUCACGCAGUGACGGUAUCCAACCAGAAAGUCACGGCUAACUACGUGCCAGCAGCCGCGGUAAUACGUAGGUGGCAAGCGUUAUCCGGAUUUAUUGGGCGUAAAGCGAGCGCAGGCGGUUGCUUAGGUCUGAUGUGAAAGCCUUCGGCUUAACCGAAGAAGUGCAUCGGAAACCGGGCGACUUGAGUGCAGAAGAGGACAGUGGAACUCCAUGUGUAGCGGUGGAAUGCGUAGAUAUAUGGAAGAACACCAGUGGCGAAGGCGGCUGUCUGGUCUGCAACUGACGCUGAGGCUCGAAAGCAUGGGUAGCGAACAGGAUUAGAUACCCUGGUAGUCCAUGCCGUAAACGAUGAGUGCUAGGUGUUGGAGGGUUUCCGCCCUUCAGUGCCGGAGCUAACGCAUUAAGCACUCCGCCUGGGGAGUACGACCGCAAGGUUGAAACUCAAAGGAAUUGACGGGGGCCCGCACAAGCGGUGGAGCAUGUGGUUUAAUUCGAAGCUACGCGAAGAACCUUACCAGGUCUUGACAUCUUGCGCUAACCUUAGAGAUAAGGCGUUCCCUUCGGGGACGCAAUGACAGGUGGUGCAUGGUCGUCGUCAGCUCGUGUCGUGAGAUGUUGGGUUAAGUCCCGCAACGAGCGCAACCCUUGUUACUAGUUGCCAGCAUUAAGUUGGGCACUCUAGUGAGACUGCCGGUGACAAACCGGAGGAAGGUGGGGACGACGUCAGAUCAUCAUGCCCCUUAUGACCUGGGCUACACACGUGCUACAAUGGACGGUACAACGAGUCGCAAGCUCGCGAGAGUAAGCUAAUCUCUUAAAGCCGUUCUCAGUUCGGACUGUAGGCUGCAACUCGCCUACACGAAGUCGGAAUCGCUAGUAAUCGCGGAUCAGCAUGCCGCGGUGAAUACGUUCCCGGGCCUUGUACACACCGCCCGUCACACCAUGGGGAGUUUGUAACGCCCAAAGUCGGUGGCCUAACCUUUAUGGGAGGGAGCCGCCUAAGGCGGGACAGAUGA